UGGGAAAUGGCUUAGUGGUAGAGUGCUUGCCUAACAUGCAUGAAGCCCUGAGGGCGAUUUCUCAA
rnacentral:tRNA from 1 species